CAUCUGCGAAGCUGCAAAGUUGGCGGAAGUUGCGUCACGUUCAAGGGUUUAAAUAGGACCAUUCAGCCGCAAUACGUCCUCUUGUCAUUGGUGCCAUCUUAGGAAGGCUUAUCUUCUCAAGAUGAGAGCCAAGUGGAGGAAGAAGCGUAUGCGCAGGCUGAAGCGCAAAAGACGAAAGAUGAGGCAAAGGUCCAAGUAAACUUCUCCUCCAUUGCUGCAUUUGACUGGCAAGCUGAACAUGGCUCUCUUGAGAAGACUAAAGCAAUAGCCAUCCCAAGGAAGUUGUCCUGUACUGGAAACGACCCCUUACUACAGUCUGGAUUCUGCUAGUUUUGCAGUUUGUUGGGGUUGAAAGAAUCUGCAGUUCUCUGAACUCUGAAGAUACACUUUACAUCACCUGCUGUCAGGAGUUUUGGACUUGUUUGUGGUCUCAUGUAGCAAGUGUAAUUAAAGCUGUUUGUUAAAACCA